GGCAGGCCUAACACAUGCAAGUCGAGCGGAUGACGGGAGCUUGCUCCUUGAUUCAGCGGCGGACGGGUGAGUAAUGCCUAGGAAUCUGCCUGGUAGUGGGGGACAACGUUUCGAAAGGAACGCUAAUACCGCAUACGUCCUACGGGAGAAAGCAGGGGACCUUCGGGCCUUGCGCUAUCAGAUGAGCCUAGGUCGGAUUAGCUAGUUGGUGGGGUAAUGGCUCACCAAGGCGACGAUCCGUAACUGGUCUGAGAGGAUGAUCAGUCACACUGGAACUGAGACACGGUCCAGACUCCUACGGGAGGCAGCAGUGGGGAAUAUUGGACAAUGGGCGAAAGCCUGAUCCAGCCAUGCCGCGUGUGUGAAGAAGGUCUUCGGAUUGUAAAGCACUUUAAGUUGGGAGGAAGGGCAGUAAGCUAAUACCUUGCUGUUUUGACGUUACCGACAGAAUAAGCACCGGCUAACUCUGUGCCAGCAGCCGCGGUAAUACAGAGGGUGCAAGCGUUAAUCGGAAUUACUGGGCGUAAAGCGCGCGUAGGUGGUUUGUUAAGUUGGAUGUGAAAGCCCCGGGCUCAACCUGGGAACUGCAUCCAAAACUGGCAGGCUAGAGUACGGUAGAGGGUGGUGGAAUUUCCUGUGUAGCGGUGAAAUGCGUAGAUAUAGGAAGGAACACCAGUGGCGAAGGCGACCACCUGGACUGAUACUGACACUGAGGUGCGAAAGCGUGGGAGCAAACAGGAUUAGAUACCCUGGUAGUCCACGCCGUAAACGAUGUCAACUAGCCGUUGGAAUCCUUGAGAUUUUAGUGGCGCAGCUAACGCAUUAAGUUGACCGCCUGGGGGAGUACGGCCGCAAGGUUAAAACUCAAAUGAAUUGACGGGGGCCCGCACAAGCGGUGGAGCAUGUGGUUUAAUUCGAAGCAACGCGAAGAAUCUUACCAGGCCUUGAC
rnacentral:rRNA from 1 species